rnacentral:rRNA from 1 species
GAUGAACGCUGGCGGCGUGCCUAAUACAUGCAAGUCGAGCGAGAAUCUGAUGACUUGAGAUUCGUUGAUAUGAUUCAGAGGAAAGCGGCGGACGGGUGAGUAACGCGUAGGCAACCUGUCCUUAGCAGAGGGAUAGCCAUUGGAAACGAUGAUUAAAACCUCAUAACGCUGUUUCAACACAUGUUGAGACAGCCAAAGAUUUAUCGGCUAGGGAUGGGACUGCGUCUGAUUAACUAGUUGGUGGGGUAACGGCUCACCAAGGUGACGAUCAGUAGCCGACCUGAGAGGGUUAUCGGCCACAUUGGAACUGAGACACGGUCCAAACUUCUACGGAAGGCAGCAGUAAGGAAUCUUGCACAAUGGGGGAAACCCUGAUGCAGCAACGCCGCGUGAACGAUGAAGGCCUUCGGGUUGUAAAGUUCUGAUCUUGGGGAAGAAGGAAGUGACGGUACCCGAGGAGAAAGCCCCGGCUAAAUACGUGCCAGCCGCCGCAGUAAUAC